UCCCCGUUACCGGGGCAGUCUAGCUAGAGAAAUUCAACUAACUACAAGGGUUGCGCUCGUUAAUGGACUUAACCAAACAUCUCACGACACGAGCUGACGACGGCCAUGCAUCACCUGUCUUCUGGUUCUAAAAGCACUCUUUCCUUUCGGAAAGAUUCCAGAGAUGUCAAGCCUUGGUAAGGUUCUUCGCUUAUCGUCGAAUUAAACAACACGCUCCACCGCUUGUGCGGGUCCCCGUCAAUUCCUUUAUGUUUUAAGCUUGCGCUCGUACUCCACAGGCGGGAUGCUUAACGCGUUAGCUUCGCUACUACCAGGGUCGAUACUGAUAACAGCUAGCAUCCAUCGUUUACGGCGUGGACUAC
rnacentral:misc_RNA from 1 species